GUUAAGUGACUAAGCGUAUACGGUGGAUGCCUAGGCAGUUAGAGGCGAUGAAGGACGUGUAAGUCUGCGAAAAGCUGUGGUGAGUUGACAAAACGCAUUUGAACCACAGAUGUCCGAAUGGGGAAACCCACCGCUUCGGCGGUAUCUGCACCUGAAUACAUAGGGUGUAGAGGCAAACGAGGGGAACUGAAACAUCUAAGUACCCUUAGGAAAAGAAAUCAACCGAGAUUCCCUAAGUAGCGGCGAGCGAACGGGGACUAGCCCUUAAGCUAGACAACUGGUAGGAGAAGGCUCUGGAAAGUGCCGCCAUAGUGGGUGAUAGCCCCGUAUCCGAAACCUGAGUCUGGUGAAAUCGAGUAGGACGGGACACGUGAUAUCCUGUCUGAA
rnacentral:rRNA from 1 species